rnacentral:rRNA from 1 species
ACGCUGGCGGCGUGCCUAAUACAUGCAAGUAGAACGCUGAAGAGAGGAGCUUGCUCUUCUUGGAUGAGUUGCGAACGGGUGAGUAACGCGUAGGUAACCUGCCUUGUAGCGGGGGAUAACUAUUGGAAACGAUAGCUUAUACCGCAUAACAAUGGGUGACACAUGUCAUUUAUUUGAAAGGGGCAAUUGCUCCACUACAAGAUGGACCUGCGUUGUAUUAGCUAGUAGGUGAGGUAACGGCUCACCUAGGCGACGAUACAUAGCCGACCUGAGAGGGUGAUCGGCCACACUGGGACUGAGACACGGCCCAGACACCUACGGGAGGCAGCAGUAGGGAAUCUUCGGCAAUGGGGGCAACCCUGACCGAGCAACGCCGCGUGAGUGAAGAAGGUUUUCGGAUCGUAAAGCUCUGUUGUAAGUCAAGAACGAGUGUGAGAGUGGAAAGUUCACACUGUGACGGUAGCUUACCAGAAAGGGACGGCUAACUACGUGCCAGCAGCCGCGGUAAUACGUAGGUCCCGAGCGUUGUCCGGAUUUAUUGGGCGUAAAGCGAGCGCAGGCGGUUUGAUAAGUCUGAAGUUAAAGGCUGUGGCUCAACCAUAGUUCGCUUUGGAAACUGUCAAACUUGAGUGCAGAAGGGGAGAGUGGAAUUCCAUGUGUAGCGGUGAAAUGCGUAGAUAUAUGGAGGAACACCGGUGGCGAAAGCGGCUCUCUGGUCUGUAACUGACGCUGAGGCUCGAAAGCGUGGGGAGCGAACAGGAUUAGAUACCCUGGUAGUCCACGCCGUAAACGAUGAGUGCUAGGUGUUGGAUCCUUUCCGGGAUUCAGUGCCGCAGCUAACGCAUUAAGCACUCCGCCUGGGGAGUACGACCGCAAGGUUGAAACUCAAAGGAAUUGACGGGGGCCCGCACAAGCGGUGG